rnacentral:rRNA from 1 species
CCUACGGGUGACAGCAGUGAGGAAUAUUGGUCAAUGGACGCAAGUCUGAACCAGCCAUGCCGCGUGAGUGAAGAAGUAUUUCGGUACGUAAAGCUCUAUCAGCAGGGAAGAAAAUGACGGUACCUGACUAAGAAGCCCCGGCUAACUACGUGCCAGCAGCCGCGGUAAUACGUAGGGGGCAAGCGUUAUCCGGAUUUACGGGGUGUAAAGGGAGCGUAGACGGCAGCGCAAGUCUGAAGUGAAAUCCCAUGGCUUAACCAUGGAACUGCUUUGGAAACUGUGCAGCUGGAGUGCAGGAGAGGUAAGCGGAAUUCCUAGUGUAGCGGUGAAAUGCGUAGAUAUUAGGAGGAACACCAGUGGCGAAGGCGGCUUACUGGACUGUAACUGACGUUGAGGCUCGAAAGCGUGGGGAGCAAACAGGAUUAGAUACCCCAGUAGUC